rnacentral:rRNA from 1 species
UCUGAGUAACAUGCUACUACCCGACUUCAGGAAGGGGUGUAUUUAUUAGAUAAAAAACCAACGCCCUUCGGGGCUCCUUGGUGAAUCAUAAUAACUUAACGAAUCGCAUGGUCUUGCGCCGGCGAUGGUCAUUCAAUUUUGCCCUAUAACUUCGAUGGAGGAUAGUGCCUACAUGGGCCAACGGGAACGGGGAAUAUGGGUUCGAUCCGGAGAGGCAGCCUGAGAAACGGCUACCACACUCCAAGGAGGCAGCAGGCGCGCAAAUUACCCAAUCUCGAUACGGGGAGGUAGUGACAAUAAAUACUGAUACGGGGUUCUUUGGGGUCUCGUAAGUGGAAUGAGAACAAUUUAAAUCCCUUAACGAGGAACAAUUGGAGGGCAAGUCUGGUGCCCCCCCCAAC